AUUGAACGCUGGCGGCAGGCCUAACACAUGCAAGUCGAACGGAAACAGUAUGAAGCUUGCUUCUUUGCUUCCCAGUGGCGGACUGGUGAGUCAUGUCUGGGAAACUGCCUUAUGCAGGGGGAUAACUACUGGAAACGGUAACUAAUACCCCGUAACUUCUCAAGCCCAAAAAUGGUUACCGUCUGGCAUCUUUCUAACAGAUGGCUACAGAACGGAUUAGCUAGUAGGUGGGGUAACGGCUUACCUAGGCGACGAUCCGUAGCUGGACUGAGAGGAUGACCAGCCACACUGGGACUGAGACACGGUCCAGACUCCUACGGGAGGCAGCAGUGGGGAAUAUUGCACAAUGGGCGCAAGCCUGAUGCAGCAAUGCCGCGUGUAUGAAGAAGGCCUUCGGGUUGUAAAGUACUUUCAGCGGGGAGGAAGGGAGUAAAGUGAAUACCUUUGCUCAUUGACGUUACCCGAAGAGAAAGCACCGGCUAACUCCGUG
rnacentral:rRNA from 1 species